ensembl:lncRNA
GGGUCUCAUUGCAUUCUUCUCCAGAAGCCAGUUGUUCAAGGGUGCGUUUGUCACUUUCUAGCUCCUGCCGUCUGUGGGGUCGCACAGAGUCAGACACGACUGAAGCAACUUAGCAGCAGCAGCAGCAGCUCUUCUUUCCUGGUCCUUUAAGUAUAAUGACAAUCUCCUUCCAUGUUUCUGUGAAAAUGGCCAGAAAAUAAUUCAGAAAACAAAUAUUAUUCUUGGCUAUGAUUAGAACUUCAGCCAAUAAAGAACAGGCUAAAGUUAAAAUGAAGGAUAAUUUUGAAUGGACAGGGAAAAGCAUUGUAAGAAAUAUUCCAGAUAUUUUGAAGAUUUCGCUGAUUAGAAGCUCAGAAGAAACUUGGUCCCAGUAAACACUUUGUUUGGUUGUGUUACCUUCGUUGGCUGUAAAACUAAGCAGCUUACAACCAACCACAGUGAUCUUCUCAUCUGUGCCAACUUGUGUGGAGUAAGGAAACAACUAUAGCAUCAAAGCUUCCUCAGGACUGAUGUCAAAAGAACUAAAACUGCUUAAAAAAAUAAGGUCUAUUAAAAAAAUAUAUUUCUAGUGACAGGUGUUCUAGUACAAAAAAUGCCAGAAAAAUAUCAAAAAGUGACCAUACACAACCCAAAAGGAAGAAGAAAAUUUUGGCACAUUACAAAAUGUGUUAAAGGAAAGGACAUCAAAACAGAAAUUUUGCUAAUAAAGAGGUUAUGGAUCAGCUUAUUCACUGGCUCCUACAUUUGCUUGUACAGAAGGUGUCAG